rnacentral:rRNA from 1 species
GACGAACGCUGGCGGCGUGCUUAACACAUGCAAGUCGAACGAAGUGGCGAACGGGUGAGUAACGCGUAAUCAACAUGCCCUUCAGAGGGGGAUAACAGUUGGAAACGACUGCUAAUAACGCAUAAUGAAGGGGGUGAAUGCGGCUGAUUAGCUAGUUGGAGGGGUAACGGCCCACCAAGGAGAUGAUCGGUCGCCAGUCGGAGAGGUGGAGCGGCCACAUUGUGACUGAGACACGGCCCAGAAUCCUACGGGAGGCCGCAGUGGGGGAUCUUCCGCAAUGGACGAAAGUCUGACGGAGCAACGCCGCGUGAGUGAUGACGGCCUUCGGGUUGUAAAGCUUUGUUAAUCGGGACGCGGUACCGGAAUAGAAAGCCACGGCUAACUACGUGCCAGCAGCCGCGGUAAUUC